GGUUUGGCUCAGUGGGUAGAGCGUCAGCCUGUGGGCUGAAAGGUCCCGGGUUCGAUUCCCGGUCAGGCCA
rnacentral:tRNA from 1 species